GGCGUGUUGGUCAAGAGGUUAAGACACCGCCCUUUCACGGCGGGAUCAUGGGUUCGAUUCCCGUACACGUCACCA
rnacentral:tRNA from 1 species